rnacentral:tRNA from 2 species
GGCGUUGUAGCAAAGUGGUUACUGCGUCAGCCUAGAAUUGGUUCUACAUCCGAUUAGCUGAUCCUCUCUGAGGGCGUAGGUUCGAGUCCUGCCAACGUCG